rnacentral:rRNA from 1 species
AUGCUGGUCGUCGGCGAGCAAGAGGCUGACCAAGCCCCCAAAUCCACGGCCUCGCCGUUGCCGCCGGAUCAGACGAGGAUGCCACCGGGCGCGACUGGGGUUGGUUGGGAUGAGCACGCGAUGAAGAGAUUCUGGCGGCCGGCGGCGGCUAGGGCACAGGAGACAUGGCAGGUGGGGGUGGCUCACGAGCGGGUGGUCUCUGCCUCCGUCUCUCUCUCUAGAACGAACGAGGUUGCCUGUAAAAAAAUUGCGUCGCUGGAGGGGGGGCUCGAGCAUGUUAAAGCCCCCCCAGUAGAUUCGCCGUUGGUGCUUAGAGAUGAACGUGGUGCAAUUAUAUACUCCUCCUGCCAUGAGUUACAACACUGUGCAACGCCGUUGCAACCUGAAUUAGCAGCUUGUGUGGAAGGCGUCUCCUUAGCCAUCCAGUGGUCAUCUUUGCCAAUCGUUAUCCAAUCAGAUUGCUCAGAGCUUAUUAAGAUGACCACUGAUCAGGGAGACAACGGAUCAACAUAUAUGAUGAUGGUCCAGGAGAUUAAAUCGUUACUUCAUCAGGAUAAUAGGGAGUUCAUAUUCAAGCAUGUUAGGCGGGAACAAAAUGUUGUUAGCCACUUUUUAGCAAACUAUGGUAGAAUACAGAAGCGCACUGCAGUGUGGCUUCGGUUAGGACCGGACAAGUUUAUCCACCUCAUCACAUAUGCCACCCCAGCAGUUCAAUGUUCCACUAGUGAUUUUUUUCAAACGCCUUUUUGGCUCUACCUCCAGUGCUAUAUAAAUAUGUCAUGGGUACAAAUCCAUGCUUCAGCCCUUUUUGUGUAUGACACUACUGGAAAAUUGGUCAUUUCCGAGUGUCGCCUCUUUCCCGAGAGCCAAACUGCAGGAGUUUGGAAAAAACAAUAUAACGCCCCCAUUCAGUCUGUUUCUUUUCGCGACGUAGUUGCUCCUAGCUCGUCUUCGAACGCGCCACUGCCGGGCCGGUCCCGUACUGCGUCUGUUGAUCUAGAACCAGACGACGACGGUUGGAUUCAAGUGAGGAAUCGUCGUCACCAGCGCCGUUAUGUGGCCGCAUCCCCGGUCGUGAGGCGGCCAGCUGGUCCCAAACCUCGGAUUCCUCGGUGGUUGUUUGGUAGGUGUUUUAAGUGCCUGGAGUCGGGCCACCUCAAAUCUAAAUGCUCCGGUGAGAUAAGAUGCCACAGCUGUUGGCUCACGGGCCACAUAGCUAGAAGCUGCCACUCCUCUCCAGAUUCGUCACACCCUCCACCCCUGCAGCCCAGAUCUGAGCCCGACCCCUCUGCUCGCUCCUCCGCCGACUGGUCUAAGCAGGAGAGCUCCCCCCGUCGCCCGCCGCCGCCUUGUGACAUGGCCAACUAA